AUUAAACGCUGGCGGCAGGCCUAACACAUGCAAGUCGAGCGGAUGAAAGGAGCUUGCUCCUUGAUUUAGCGGCGGACGGGUGAGUAAUGCCUAGGAAUCUGCCUGGUAGUGGGGGAUAACGUUCCGAAAGGAACGCUAAUACCGCGUACGUCCUACGGGAGAAAGCAGGGGACCUUCGGGCCUUGCGCUAUCAGAGGAGCCUAGGUCGGAUUAGCUAGUUGGUGAGGUAAUGGCUCACCAAGGCGACGAUCCGUAACUGGUCUGAGAGGAUGAUCAGUCACACUGGAACUGAGACACGGUCCAGACUCCUACGGGAGGCAGCAGUGGGGAAUAUUGGACAAUGGGCGAAAGCCUGAUCCAGCCAUGCCGCGUGUGUGAAGAAGGUCUUCGGAUUGUAAAGCACUUUAAGUUGGGAGGAAGGGCGUUUGGCUAAUAUCCAGGCGUUUUGACGUUACCAACAGAAUAAGCACCGGCUAACUUCGUGCCAGCCGCCGCAGUAACAC
rnacentral:rRNA from 1 species